AUCUGUCUCCAUCGUCUAAUUAGCCUCUCACUCUCACUCUCACUCUCUCUCUCUGUUGACGGCUCUUCGACUUCUCAUCCCAUUUGUCUCUCUCAUGAUCGAUACGUGAUUUUAGGUUUUACCUUUACACAUCUGAAUAAUCCUGCGAUCUAAGUUAAUGGAAGAGAUCCUUCCAUUCUCCAAACCAAGUAGAGCAGAAAAUGCUGAUGAAAAUGAGCUAGUUGAUGUAAAGAAGAAUCAGAUGAUGGCUGGAAAAACUGAGUAUCCUUUGUUAGAGAUACUAUCCAGGUUGCCACUGAAGUCCGUACUCAAGUUUAGGUGUGUGAACAAAAGAUGGUAUCGUCUUUUGUGUGAUCCCUUUUUUAUCCAGGCAUAUUGUCUCAGAUCGGCUGUCUGUUCUGGAUUCAUAAUAGAAAGCAGCUUCUUUAACUGUAUUCGUUGACUAGAACCAAUCAAUAAGUGUCAUCCCUUACUUAAAGCCGCGUGGAGAGUUCAUUAAAGCUUCUUCUAGGGGGUUGCUUUGUUGUGAGAAUAAUAGGAAUCAAGGGGUUUUCUUGAUAUACAAUUCGGUCACAGGUGACCGGACAUGGCUUCCAACGUGAUUGCACGUCCCUGUGGUUUGAAACGUGAUUGCACGUCCCUGUGGUUUGAAAUUAGAAGUGGAAGAUUAGUUUAUGCCGGGAAUUGUACUGAUCAGACUUCAAAUACUGCUAUUCCUCGCGAGUUUGCACUUGUUCCAUGCAAGAAGAUAAACAAAGUUAUUUACACUCGCUCCAUGCAAGAAGAUAAACCAAGUUAUUUAAGUUUUAUAUAAGGGGCUCUUUUUUCAAGUAUGAUUUCUUGUUUUUGUUUUUAUUUUUCCUAUUUAAGAUGUGGAAGUAUCAGUGAGAUUAAAUGGAAAUUAUGGAACUAAGGGUUAUACAAUCCUAGACAGUUGAACUUCA